rnacentral:tRNA from 9 species
GGGGCUAUAGCUCAGUUGGUAGAGCACUUGAAUGGCAUUCAAGGGGUCAGCGGUUCGAAUCCGCUUAGCUCCA